GAGCUAGUGGGUGGUCAAGCUUACAUUAAUUCUAGAUUUGUCUAGAUUGAUGGAUUCUGCAUUCUACCAUCUAAGAUUAAAAUUUGACUGGAAGAAUACUCUAGAUGUUCAGUCAAAAGCUAAAGGUUAAAAUUUGCAUGAAAUAACUCAUGAAUUCUAUUUCCAUUGUUUCAACUGAAAAUUAUUUGCAAAAUAAAUGUGCGUGUACAUUAUAAAUUUGAUUGGCAAUAUUGAUUUAAAACGGAGGUUAUCAAUAUUUUUUAAGUACAAGGUGUCAGAAUUGUAUUGAACUCCUAAAAGAAUAAACCCAAAAUAAGUUUUAAAAUAUGACCAAAAUUUGAUAUUAAAAUCACAGAAAAGAGUAAUAGAACCCUGGAUUGAGAAUAAAAAUGACUGUAUUCUGCCUUAGAAUGUACUCCUUUAAAUGAACAGUAAUUCCUUGAAGAAGUCUCUGUGCAUAUCUAAAUUUAAUUUUCUUCAUUGCACACUAAGCUUCUGAUAGUUGCUUUUGGGGAUCGAUGAAUCGCUUGAGAAUCUCUGAUUGGGCAAAAGGCCUAAGUGUCUAUAAGAAGCUGAGGAGCUGGAGUGGGAGCAGAAACGUCUGGCAGGGUGAAUGGAGCUGGAAGAAGUGGGAUUAAUCCAUAUGGUAAAGAAGAAAAUAUAGAUAUUUGGACCGAAGAGGUUAAAAAAGUCAAUGGAUGACACCAUUCUCUGAAGAAAAUUAAAGAGGAAUCCAAACUCAUUGUAUGAGGCCAGCAUUACGCUGAUACCUGAUCCACAGAAGGACACUAGAAGAAAAGAAAAUCACAGGCUAAUUUCCUUGAUGAACAUAGAUGCAAGGAUCCUCAACAAAAUACCAGCAAACCAAAUUCAACAGCACAUUAACAGUGUCACACAUGAGCAACUGGAAUUUAUCCCUGGGACGGAAGGAUGGUUCAACACUGGCCUAUUGUUUUUAAGGCUUUCUGGCUCUGGAAACUGUAAACUCUUGCCUCCAAAAUGACCUCAGGAGUCUCCCAGGAAUUACAGGAGACUAUUCCAAGGUGCAAUAAUUUAUCUCUCAAAGAGAUAAAAGUUUAAUUUUAAUUUUUCUUUCUUCUGCUUUACUGAAUUAAUUUAUGAAAAUUC
rnacentral:lncRNA from 1 species